CUGCUUCAGCUGCACAUAUACUAGAACUGGAAUGAUACAAAGAAGAUUAGUGAGGCCCUUGCAGAAGGACCACACAUAAAUCUGUCAAGUGUCCCCUGGCUUU
ensembl:snRNA U6 U6 spliceosomal RNA